GCUGGGGACCUUAUGAAAUGAGGCAGUUCGAACCAGGUCAGGACCGGAAGGUAGCAGCCUUAAGAGCGCCGCUUUAUGUUAUGAGUCAUCUCCAGCUUU
rnacentral:SRP_RNA from 1 species